rnacentral:rRNA from 1 species
UGCGAGUUAACGUAGCAAUACAUGGCAUACGGCUCAGUAACACGUAGUCAACAUGCCCAGGGGACGUGGAUAACCUCGGGAAACUGAGGAUAAACCGCGAUAGGCCAAGAUUUCUGGAAUGAAUCAUGGUUUAAAUCUAUAUGGCCCCUGGAUUGGACUGCGGCCGAUCAGGCUGUUGAUGAGGUAAUGGCCCACCAAACCUGUAACCGGUACGGGCUCUGAGAGGAGGAGCCCGGAGAUGGGCACUUAGACAAGGGCCCAGGCCCUAUGGGGCGCAGCAGGCGCGAAACCUCUGCAAUAAGCGAAAGCUUGACAGGGUUACUCUGAGUGAUUUCCGCUAAGGAAGUCUUUUGGCACCUCUAAAAAUGGUGCAGAAUAAGGGGUGGGCAAGUCUGGUGUCAGCCGCCGCGGUAAUACCAGCACCCCGAGUGGUCGGGACGAUUAUUGGGCCUAAAGCAUCCGUAGCCGGUCCUGCAAGUCCUCCGUUAAAUCCACCCGCUCAACGGUUGGGCCGCGGGGGAUACUACAGGGCUAGGAGGCGGGAGAGGCAAGCGGUACUCGAUGGGUAGGGGUAAAAUCCACUGAUCCAUUGAAGACCACCAGUGGCGAAGGCGGCUUGCCAGAACGCGCUCGACGGUGAGGGAUGAAAGCUGGGGGAGCAAACCGGAUUAGAUACCCGGGUAGUCCCAGCUGUAAACGAUGCAGACUCGGUGAUG